rnacentral:rRNA from 2 species
UACGCUGGCGGCAGGCCUAACACAUGCAAGUCGAACGGUAGCACAGAGAGCUUGCUCUUGGGUGACGAGUGGCGGACGGGUGAGUAAUGUCUGGGAAACUGCCCGAUGGAGGGGGAUAACUACUGGAAACGGUAGCUAAUACCGCAUAACGUCGCAAGACCAAAGUGGGGGACCUUCGGGCCUCACACCAUCGGAUGUGCCCAGAUGGGAUUAGCUAGUUGGUGAGGUAAUGGCUCACCAAGGCGACGAUCCCUAGCUGGUCUGAGAGGAUGACCAGCCACACUGGAACUGAGACACGGUCCAGACUCCUACGGGAGGCAGCAGUGGGGAAUAUUGCACAAUGGGCGCAAGCCUGAUGCAGCCAUGCCGCGUGUAUGAAGAAGGCCUUCGGGUUGUAAAGUACUUUCAGCGAGGAGGAAGGCGUUGUGGUUAAUAACCGCAGCGAUUGACGUUACUCGCAGAAGAAGCACCGGCUAACUCCGUGCCAGCAGCCGCGGUAAUACGGAGGUGCAAGCGUUAAUCGGAAUUACUGGGCGUAAAGCGCACGCAGGCGGUCUGUCAAGUCGGAUGUGAAAUCCCCGGGCUCAACCUGGGAACUGCAUUCGAAACUGGCAGGCUAGAGUCUUGUAGAGGGGGGUAGAAUUCCAGGUGUAGCGGUGAAAUGCGUAGAGAUCUGGAGGAAUACCGGUGGCGAAGGCGGCCCCCUGGACAAAGACUGACGCUCAGGUGCGAAAGCGUGGGGAGCAAACAGGAUUAGAUACCCUGGUAGUCCACGCCGUAAACGAUGUCUAUUUGGAGGUUGUUCCCUUGAGGAGUGGCUUCCGGAGCUAACGCGUUAAAUAGACCGCCUGGGGAGUACGGCCGCAAGGUUAAAACUCAAAUGAAUUGACGGGGGCCCGCACAAGCGGUGGAGCAUGUGGUUUAAUUCGAUGCAACGCGAAGAACCUUACCUACUCUUGACAUCCAGAGAACUUAGCAGAGAUGCUUUGGUGCCUUCGGGAACUCUGAGACAGGUGCUGCAUGGCUGUCGUCAGCUCGUGUUGUGAAAUGUUGGGUUAAGUCCCGCAACGAGCGCAACCCUUAUCCUUUGUUGCCAGCGGUUCGGCCGGGAACUCAAAGGAGACUGCCAGUGAUAAACUGGAGGAAGGUGGGGAUGACGUCAAGUCAUCAUGGCCCUUACGAGUAGGGCUACACACGUGCUACAAUGGCAUAUACAAAGAGAAGCGACCUCGCGAGAGCAAGCGGACCUCAUAAAGUAUGUCGUAGUCCGGAUUGGAGUCUGCAACUCGACUCCAUGAAGUCGGAAUCGCUAGUAAUCGUAGAUCAGAAUGCUACGGUGAAUACGUUCCCGGGCCUUGUACACACCGCCCGUCACACCAUGGGAGUGGGUUGCAAAAGAAGUAGGUAGCUUAACCUUCGGGAGGGCGCUUACCACUU